rnacentral:rRNA from 1 species
GACGAACGCUGGCGGCGUGCUUAACACAUGCAAGUCGAACGGAAAGGCCCUGCUUUUGUGGGGUGCUCGAGUGGCGAACGGGUGAGUAACACGUGAGUAACCUGCCCUUGACUUUGGGAUAACUUCAGGAAACUGGGGCUAAUACCGGAUAGGAGCUCCUGCUGCAUGGUGGGGGUUGGAAAGUUUCGGCGGUUGGGGAUGGACUCGCGGCUUAUCAGCUUGUUGGUGGGGUAGUGGCUUACCAAGGCUUUGACGGGUAGCCGGCCUGAGAGGGUGACCGGCGACAUUGGGACUGAGAUACGGCCCAGACUCCUACGGGAGGCAGCAGUGGGGAAUAUUGCACAAUGGGGCGAAGCCUGAGGCAGCAACGCCGCGUGCGGGAUGACGGCCUUCGGGUUGUAAACCGCUUUCGCCUGUAACGAAGCGUGAGUGACGGUAAUGGGUAAAGAAGCACCGGCUAACUACGUG